rnacentral:lncRNA from 1 species
AAUAUUGUCCCUUCAUUUUGCCUCAUCCAACGAUCUAGAAAGCGUAUCUCACUUCGCUUAGUAAUAUCUGAAAUCCGUGAAAUUGGUGUAAUAUCAUCUUCAUUCCUCUUCUCUCCCAUCGAACCAGAGCCUCCCUCACACCUCUUCCCCAUUUUCGGUGGCGGCGGAGCCCAAAUUAUCCCCAAAAUUCAACCAGGCGAUCAGCACCCACUGUGAGUCCUAAUCCACCAUUAUUUCCCCCCAAAUCCUAGCCAAAUCAGGCCAGUUUCGAAUCUUAAAUCAAAGAAAGGAGAAUUGGUCAAGCCUUCAAGUUCCAUGAACGAUAGGGUUUGAAACAAGUAUUGCUCGUUUGUCCUCAAAAGAGAACAUACGGUUAAUACCAGUUUCGGUUCAAAUCGGGUCGCUUAAAGUUUAUCAAGCUUUGUCCCUGUUACUUUAGAGGUAUUUUUUUCAUCAUCCUCGCUUAUAAUUUGUGUGCACGCAUAGGAUUUUGAAUUCUUCUCUUUUUUUAAUUUGAGUUUUAUCCUGGCGUUCAAUAUAAUGGGAUUUGGGCGAUGUAAUUAUUUUUGAAGGAAAAAAGUGUACUGAGUUUUCCUGGUAAAUUUUUUUUUUUUGAUUCAAAGUCUGGUUGUUUUGAAGAAAUUCAUGUGUUGGGCUGUAGUUUUCAGGCCCAUGAAUGUGGUGAAGUUUGUUGUAAGAAUAGGGUUCUGGCUGAGAUUAGAGUUAGAAGUUCAGGCUCAUUGCAUUUGCAUAUACCCAUUUGGUUUCCCUGCUUAAUUGGCUAGGGGUAAUUUUAGAGGCCGGGGGAGGGGGUAGUUUAGGUAUUUGGUUGAAGGAAUCUUAAGUGUAACUGAUUGAGAAUCUUAUAGGAAGUUGGGUGGGGGGUUUAAAAUGAUUUUCAAAUUUUUAACUAAGGGUAGUUAAGCUGAAAUAAAAAAUGAAAAGGGGCCUAAUUGCAAAAUUGAAUCAUCAGGGCUGCCCUAUUUUCCUUGCCUAUAAAGGCACCGUUAACUUGAUAUGCAAGGCAAACUUAAGAGCUAGGAAAAAUAGCAAACCGGCUGAAAAUUUCUAGUGAGAUACUAUUCCAUUGAAUCUCUGCUUUGUAAUUUGAAAUCUUCACUUCUUAAAUCAAUUUUCUGAUUGUUUGAACUUGGAGAUGGAUUGAAUUUGGUAUUCUGAGGUUGGGUUUUUGAAAUUAGCCCCAGUGCUAUUCGAUCCAGGAACUGUUUUGGACUGUUUCCUAUUAUUAUUCUAGUUGAAUUGGCUAUGGUAUUGAAUCAUGCCAGAUUGUUGUUGUUUAUUGCUUCUUACCCUUUUCUUUUUGCAAAUUCCAGGUACAUGCUCUAAAACUUGUAUCAUGUGAAUUGCUUGAUUCGAAAGUUGAAAUGAAAAUGGAGUUGCGGAGCUUGACUUUAGCUUGUUAUUUAUUAUUUAGUUCAUUUCUUUCUGUUUUCUUCCUCUGAAUUCUAAACUUGAAGAAAAGGUCCUUAUAUAUGAUAGGGGUUUGGUAUUUUACUUGCUUUCACAACCAUGUAAUAUAAGGAUCGAAGUUAGAUUUUUAAUAUUAUGCUAGAUUUGGGUGUUGUAAGAGUCAUUUAAUAUAUUAUGUCCACUUUCAGCUUAUUGUCUUUUAUUCAUUAAAAGAAUGAGUCUGAAAGUUCGAGUGUGGUGUUGAAUCGUGUAUGCUGGUUUCUAUUAAAUUUGCUGAUAAUCUUGAGGUCUGCUGAACUUAAUUGGUAUUUUGGCUACUAUUUCAUUAGAGAUAGAAUUCCAAAAAAAAAUACAAAAAACUUUGCCUUUAGUAUUAAAAUUUUUUGUUCUGCUAAAGUUUGUUGGAGUUAGAUUGUAGCUUAACUUUUAAUCUUCACGAGUUCAUUGUUAGUCUUGUUCUAAUAUGUACCCUGUGG